GGCGAACGCUGGCGGCGUGCUUAACACAUGCAAGUCGAACGGAAAGGCCCCCUUGUGGGGUACUCGAGUGGCGAACGGGUGAGUAACACGUGAGUAACCUACCCUUGACUUUGGGAUAACUUCAGGAAACUGGGGCUAAUACCGGAUAGGAGCUCCUGUUGCAUGGUGGGGGUUGGAAAGUUUCGGCGGUUGGGGAUGGACUCGCGGCUUAUCAGCUUGUUGGUGGGGUAGUGGGUCACCAAGGCUUUGACGGGUAGCCGGCCUGAGAGGGUGACCGGCCACAUUGGGACUGAGAGACGGCCCAGACUCCUACGGGAGGCAGCAGGGGGGAAUAUUGCGCAAUGGGCGGAAGCCUGAUGCAGCAACGCCGCGUGCGGGAUGACGGCCUUCGGGUUGUAAACCGCUUUCGCCUGUGACGAAGCGUGAGUGACGGUAAUGGGUAAAGAAGCACCGGCUAACUACGUG
rnacentral:rRNA from 1 species